UACGUAGGGGGCUAGCGUUGCUCGGAUUGACUGGGCGUAAAGGGCUCGUAGGCGGCCAACUAAGUCAGACGUGAAAUCCCCUCGGCUUAACCGGGGAACUGCGUCUGAUACUGGAUGGCUAGAGGUUGGGAGAGGGAUGCGGAAUUCCAGGUGUAGCGGUGAAAUGCGUAGAUAUCAAGAGGAACACCGGUGGCGAAGGCGGGACUCUGGGCCGAUACUGACGCUGAGGUGCGAAAGCGUGGGGAGCAAACAGG
rnacentral:rRNA from 1 species